rnacentral:rRNA from 1 species
UACGAAGGGGGCUAGCGUUACUCGGAUUGACUGGGCGUAAAGGGCGCGUAGGCGGCUUGUACAGUCAGACGUGAAAUUCCUGGGCUCAACCUGGGGGCUGCGUUUGAUACGUGCGGGCUUGAGUUCGGAAGAGGGUCGUGGAAUUCCCAGUGUAGAGGUGAAAUUCGUAGAUAUUGGGAAGAACACCGGUGGCGAAGGCGGCUCACUGGACCGGUUCUGACGCUGAGGCGCGAAAGCGUGGGGAGCAAACGGG